rnacentral:miRNA from 2 species
UUUGUGACCUGGUCCACUAACCC